GAUGAAGAACGUAGCGAAAUGCGAUAAGUAAUGUGAAUUGCAGAAUUCAGUGAAUCAUCGAAUCUUUGAACGCACAUUGCGCCCGCCAGUAUUCUGGCGGGCAUGCCUGUUCGAGCGUCAUUUCAACCAUCAAGCCCCCGGGCUUGUGUUGGGGACCUGCGGCUGCCCGCAGGCCCUGAAAACCAGUGGCGGGCUCGCUGUCACACCGAGCGUAGUAGCAUCAUCUCGCUCAGGGCGUGCUGCGGGUUCCGGCCGUUAAAAAGCCUCUAAUACCCAAGGUUGACCUCGGAUCAGGUAGGAAGACCCGCUGAGCUUAAGCAUAUCAAUAAGCGGAGGA
rnacentral:misc_RNA from 1 species